rnacentral:misc_RNA from 1 species
GCUUGUCAGGCCAUCUCACACGCAGGCCUUCACCUUCGAUUGCCAGAACUGUUGCAGGGCAUGGCGGCAACCUGCUCGCAGGAUGCCGGCUGCAAACAUCGCAGCAUCCCUACGCAACAACUGACAACGGCUCGGCAACGCCGGCAAAGCCAACGACGUUCCCGCGGUCUAUGAACCAAUCAGAGUCAUUCCGCAUUGUCAGGUCUGGUUGUGAUGCCGCUACGUCAAUACUUCUGUGGUGUGGGAGGCAUUCUUCUCGCCGCGCUGCUUGCUGCCAACAUCGGCCUUUCGGCGUCAUCCGCGCAGUUGCGCGCUG